ACUCAAAUGAAUUGACGGGGGCUCACACAAGCGGUGGAGCAUGUUGCUUAAUUCGAGGCAACGCGAAGAACCUUACCUGGGUUUGACAUGUACGGAUCAACUCUAUGAAAGUAGAGCCACAGUCGCAAGACCGGAACGUGCACAGGUGCUGCAUGGCUGUCGUCAGCUCGUGCUGUGAAGUGUCGGGUUAAGUCCCUUAACGAGCGCAACCCCUAUCGUUAGUUGCCACCAGGUCAUGCUGAGCACUCUAACGAGACUGCCGGCGUUAAGCCGGAGGAAGGUGGGGAUGACGUCAAGUCCUCAUGGCCCUUACAUCCAGGGUUGCAAACGUGCUACAAUGGUGCAUACAGAGCGAUGCAAGAGCGCAAGCUGGAGCAAAUCGCAAAAAGUGCACCCCAGUUCGGAUUGCGGGCUGCAACCCGCCCGCAUGAAGUCGGAAUCGCUAGUAAUCGGAGAUCAGCUACGCUCCGGUGAAUAAGUUCCUGAGCCUUGUACACACCGCCCGU
rnacentral:rRNA from 1 species